rnacentral:tRNA from 1 species
UCCGGCGUGGUUUAGUGGUUAGGAUACGUGGGUGUCAUCCACGGGUCCCGAGUUCGAUUCCGGGCGCCGGAA